UACGUAGGGGCGAGCGUUGUCCGGAUUUAUUGGGCGUAAAGAGCGUGUAGGCGGCCAGGUAGGUCUGCUGUGAAAACUCGAGGCUCAACCUCGAGACGUCGGCGGAAACCAUCUGGCUAGAGUCCGGAAGAGGAGAGUGGGAAAUUCCUGGUGUAGCGGUGAAAUGCGCAGAUAUCAGGAAGAACACCCGUGGCGAAGGCGGCUCUCUGGGACGGUACUGGACG
rnacentral:rRNA from 1 species